CACGUAGGGUGCAAGCGUUGUCCGGAAUCAUUGGGCGUAAAGAGCUCGUAGGCGGCUUAGUAAGUCGGGUGUGAAAACCCCAGGCUCAACCUGGGGACGCCACCCGAUACUGCUAUAGCUAGAGUCCAGUAGGGGAGUGUGGAAUUCCCAGUGUAGCGGUGAAAUGCGCAGAUAUUGGGAGGAACACCAGCGGUGAAGGCGGCACUCUGGGCUGGUACUGACGCUGAGGAGCGAAAGCGUGGGUAGCGAACAGG
rnacentral:rRNA from 1 species